CCUACGGUGAGCAGCAGUGAGGAAUAUUGGUCAAUGGGCGAGAGCCUGCACCAGCCAAGUCGCGUGAAGGAUGACGGCCCUACGGGUUGUAAACUUCUUUUGUCAGGGAGCAAUUGAGUCCACGUGUUGUCUUAGCGAGAGUACCUGAAGAAAAAGCAUCGGCUAACUCCGUGCCAGCAGCCGCGGUAAUACGGAGGAUGCGAGCGUUAUCCGGCUUUAUUGGGUUUAAAGGGUGCGUAGGCGGAAUAUCAAGUCAGCGGUAAAAAUUCGGGGCUCAACCCCGUCGUGCCGUUGAAACUGAUGUUCUUGAGUGGGCGAGAAGUAUGCGGAAUGCGUGGUGUAGCUGUGAAAUGCACAGAUAUCACGCAGAACUCCGAUUGCGAAGGCAGCAUACCGGCGCCCAACUGACGCUGAAGCACGAAAGCGUGGGUAUCGAACAGGAUUAGAUACCCUGGUAGUC
rnacentral:rRNA from 1 species